GCGGAUAUAGUUUAGUGGCAGAAUAGGUGCUUCCCAAGCACCGGGCAGGGGUUCGAUUCCCCUUAUCCGCACCA
rnacentral:tRNA from 1 species